GGAGUGGUAGUUCAGUCGGUUAGAAUACCGGCCUGUCACGCCGGGGGGCGCGGGUUCGAGUCCCGUCCACUCCGCCA
rnacentral:tRNA from 1 species